GAUGAACGCUAGCGGCAGGCCUAAUACAUGCAAGUCGAACGGUGUCUUCGGACAUAGUGGCGCACGGGUGCGUAACACGUAUGCAACCUACCUUACAUUGGGGGAUAGCCUCUCGAAAGGGAGCUUAAUACCGCAUAAGACAGUAGCUGGGCAUCCAGCAGCUGUUAAAGAUUUAUCGAUGUAAGCUGGGCAUGCGUCCAAUUAGCUAGUUGGUGAGGUAACGGCUCACCAAGGCAAUGAUUGGUAGGGGAACUGAGAGGUCAAUCCCCCACACUGGCACUGAGAAACGGGCCAGACUCCUACGGGAGUCAGAAGUAGGGAAUAUUGGGCAAUGGACGCAAGUCUAACCCAGCCAUGCCGCGUGCAGGAUGAAGGCGUUAUGCGUUGUAAUCUGCUUUUAUACAGGAAGAAACGACUCUUGCGAGAGGCAUUGACGGUACUGUAUGAAUAAGCACCGGCUAACUCCGUGCCAGCCGCCGCGGUAAAAC
rnacentral:rRNA from 1 species